GGAAUUAAUUUUUCUCCCAAAGCUUCGGCGCUUGAAGAUGGGUCAGCGGCGGAUUAGGUUGUUGGUGGGGUAAAGGCCCACCAAGCCGAAGAUCCGUAGGGGCCCUGAGAGGGGUAGCCCCGAGAAGGACACUGAGACACAGGUCCUAGCCCUACGGGGUGCAGCAGGCGCGAAACCUUUACAAUGCACGAAAGUGUGAUAAGGGAACCCUAAGUGCUUAGUUUAACUAGGCUUUUGCCAAGAGUAAGUAUCUUGGCGAAUAAGUGGUGGGUAAGACAGGUGCCAGCCGCCGCGGUAACACCUGCGCCACGAGUGGGAAUCGGCUUUAUUUGGCCUAAAGCGUCCGUAGCCUGUCUAGUAAAUCUCUUGUGAAAUAACUGUGCUCAACACAGUGACGUGCAGGAGACACUACCAGACUCGGAACCGGAAGGGGUUAGAAGUAUUUCUGGGGGAGCGGUAAAAUGCUAUAAUCCCAGGAGGACUACCAAUGGCGAAGGCAUCUAACCAGUACGGAUUCGACGGUGAGGGACGAAAGCUAGGGGAGCGAUCCGGAUUAGAUACCCGAGUAGUCCUAGCUGUAAACGCUGCGAGCAAGGUGUUGCACAUCCUACGUGGAUGUGCAGUGUCGAAACGAAGGUGUUAAGCUCGCCGCCUGGGAAGUAUGGUCGCAAGACUGAAACUUAAAGGAAUUGGCGGGGGAGCACUACAAGGGGUGCGGCGUGCGGUUUAAUCUAAUUCAACGCAGAGAAUCUCACCAGGAGCGACGGCAGGAUGAAGGUCAGUCUAAAGGGUUUACCUGACGAGCCGAGAGGUAGUGCAUGGCCGUCGUCAGCUCGUGCCGUAAGGUGUCCUGUUAAGUCAGGCAACGAGCGAGACCUGUGCUCAUAAUUGCUAGCAGCUCUAUCAGAGGACUGAGUACAUUAUGAGGACUGCCCUGGAAACAGGGAGGAAGAUGCAGGCUACGAUAGGUCUGUGUGCUCCGAGUCUCCUGGGCGACACGCGCGCAACAAUGGUAUGGACAAAGGGAUACAACUCCGAAAGGAGAAGUUAAUCCUCUAAACCAUAUCUUAGUUCAGAUUGAGGACUGCAAUUCGUCCUCAUGACGCCGGAAUCCCUAGUAAUCGGAUGUCAACAUCGUCCGGUGAAUAUGUCCCUGCUCCUUGCACACACCGCCCGUCAAACCACUCGAGCAGGGCUUAGGUAAGCGCUAAUUUUUUGAUUAGCUCGAAUCUAAGCUCAGUGAGAUGGGUUAAGUCGUCACAAGGUA
rnacentral:rRNA from 1 species